rnacentral:rRNA from 1 species
CAAUAGCGUAUAUUAAAGUUGUUGCAGUUAAAAAGCUCGUAGUUGGAUUUGUGGUGUGUCCAGUCGGCCUUUGCUCUCUGAGUGAUUGUGCUGUACUGGUCUGCCAUGUUUGGGUGGAAUCUGUGUGGCAUUAAGUUGUCGUGCAGGGGAUGCCCAUCGUUUACUGUGAAAAAAUUAGAGUGUUCAAAGCAGGCUUAUGCCGUUGAAUAUAUUAGCAUGGAAUAAUAAUAUAGGACCUUGGUACUAUUUUGUUGGUUUGCGCACUAAGGUAAUGAUUAAGAGGGACAGUUGGGGGUAUUUGUAUUCCAUUGUCAGAGGUGAAAUUCUUAGAUUUUUGGAAGACAAACUACUGCGAAAGCAUUUACCAAGGAUGUUUNCAUUAA